UGGGGAAUCUUCCGCAAUGGACGAAAGUCUGACGGAGCAACGCCGCGUGAGUGAUGACGGCCUUCGGGUUGUAAAGCUCUGUUAAUCGGGACGAAUGGCUACCAUGCGAAUAGUUUGGCAGUUUGACGGUACCGGAAUAGAAAGCCACGGCUAACUACGUGCCAGCAGCCGCGGUAAUACGUAGGUGGCAAGCGUUGUCCGGAAUUAUUGGGCGUAAAGCGCGCGCAGGCGGAUCUGCCAGUCUGUCUUAAAAGUUCGGGGCUCAACCCCGUGAUGGGAUGGAAACUACAGAUCUAGAGUAUCGGAGGGGAAAGUGGAAUUCCUAGUGUAGCGGUGAAAUGCGUAGAUAUUAGGAGGAACACCAGUGGCGAAGGCGACUUUCUGGACGAUCACUGACGCUGAGGCGCGAAAGCCAGGGGAGCGAACGGGAUUAGAUACCCCGGUAGUCCUGGCCGUNNCGAUGGGUACUAGGUGUAGGAGGUAUCGACCCCUUCUGUGCCGUAGUUAACGCAGUANUANNCGCCUGGGGAGUACGGCCGCAAGGUUG
rnacentral:rRNA from 1 species